rnacentral:lncRNA from 1 species
GAGAGGUGGCUCAGCGGGAACGGAGAUGGCAGUCUGAGAGACUUACCACUCAGCUUGACAACCUGAGUUCAACCCUCUGAACAUGGUAGAAGGAAAGACCAACUGCACAGGCUGCCUUCUGACCUCCACUUGCAUGCCGUGCACACACAGGUGCACACACACACACAAAAACUCUGCUCUUUGUGCAGUCACUUGCCAAGUUUCCAUGGAGCAGCACUGAGGAUCCCAACUCAGAAGAGUACAACCCUUGCUUGUCCUUCCUUCCUAUCUCUUUGUCUUGUGAAUGCUAACGGGAGCCUAGCUUAUGCUGUCCCUGAUGGGCUGGGAUUCCUCGAUCUUUGAAAAUGCCCUCCCUGCCCCACCCCCACCCCAUGCAGCUUUCUCUCUUCUUCUCCAUCUUCCUCCUCUGGGAAGCUGCCUGUCCCGUAGUUUUUCUAUCAAAACACUGGUAAAGCUUAUCCUUAAGCUUCCUGCUAAAUCUGUUUUCAAAUUCUUUUAUUAACCAGAGCGAGUACCAGAAAGGGAAUCCGCAUUUCCCCAGUAACACAAUCACACCGUGGGUCACGUUCACAGUUGUAUCA